GUGGGGAAUAUUGGACAAUGGGCGAAAGCCUGAUCCAGCCAUGCCGCGUGUGUGAAGAAGGUCUUCGGAUUGUAAAGCACUUUAAGUUGGGAGGAAGGGUAGUAACCUAAUACGUUGCUACUUUGACGUUACCGACAGAAUAAGCACCGGCUAACUUCGUGCCAGCAGCCGCGGUAAUACGAAGGGUGCAAGCGUUAAUCGGAAUUACUGGGCGUAAAGCGCGCGUAGGUGGUUCAGUAAGUUGGAAGUGAAAUCCCCGGGCUCAACCUGGGAACUGCUUUCAAAACUGCUGAGCUAGAGUACGGUAGAGGGUGGUGGAAUUUCCUGUGUAGCGGUGAAAUGCGUAGAUAUAGGAAGGGACACCAGUGGCGAAGGCGACCACCUGGACUGAUACUGACACUGAGGUGCGAAAGCGUGGGGAGCAAACAGGAUUAGAUACCCGGGUAGUCC
rnacentral:rRNA from 1 species